rnacentral:tRNA from 1 species
AAGAAAGAACGGAACCACAGUAGGUACUGCUAACACCUGCUCCCGCGGUUAGACCCCGCGGCUUUCUC